rnacentral:rRNA from 1 species
GCCUAAGGUCUCUAUUAAGAUACCAGAUUCCAUCUGAUAUUGGAAGCUAAACAGGGUCAGUCCUGGUUAGUUCUUGGCUGGGUGACUACAAACGAAUACUAGGUACUAUAGGCU